UGUGCCACCAGUGAGGAACAAAUGGCUGGGAUGUUACUGUGGAAAGAAGGCCCUCUCCCUGGAGGCUCUGUGAUCAGAACCCAGGCUUUUUCUCCAGUCACUUCCAGGGUCAGUUUGAUAGUGACAAUCUGAAAGAACCGGCCGUGGGUGGAUCAACUCCAAGUCUGACACAGGCAAUGGCUUCCUGCUGCUCACAGAGAAACGUCCCUAUGAGAUGACAUCAGGGAAGCCCUGAACGUUGUUGGGUAACAGAUUGAGAGCAAGGGUCAGAGGAAGACAGAGCUUGCUUCUGUAGCAAGCUGCAGCCUGUGCCAUGGCACAAGCACCUCCUGAUGUGCAACACGGCUCCUCAUUCCUGACCUCAUCAGAGGGGGAGCCCAGCCUUGCUCCAGCUUGUUUCUCAGCAGGGUGACAUCACCACCAUUCUUGAAGGCAGCUUUCUUGUGCUGUGCUGGGUUCUGUCAACACAACCAUCCCUGCCUGUGAUUUUAGUCAGUUUUGUGUGGCUGAAGAAAUCCCAAACUGAUCUUUUCCAAUGACUUUCUAAUGCAUGAUUUAAAAAAAAAUAAAAACGUGUUCUCAGGUA
rnacentral:lncRNA from 1 species